AAAAAGUUGAGAAUAAAAAUUUAUAUAUAAAAAUUAUUUGCUAACCUGUUAAACUUUUGAUUUUGGUUUACAAUAUCCACAUGUUGAAUCAAAUGGUUACCUUUUAAGUGUUGAGGACCAAUCACCACCUGUACAAAUUUUAAGCACUAAUAUUGCAGCAACAACUGUAUUGAGCAUCACCUGGAAUUAACAUAAAAGCUCUAAAUAUUUAAAAGAUGAAUAAACUCAUGAUUUGUUGAACCACGUUCGAAUGGAAAUUACUCCAUCCUCUAUUUCAAGCCAUGCGAAAUAUCUACACUGAAUAACCUAUCUUACAUAAUCCAUGUUUUUUCCAUCCCAAACAUCAUGUGGAUUUUUGACUGAAAACUCAAAAUGAGGGACCACUUGCAGAUCAAUCUGUAAAUGUAAAUAAAAUCCAUAAUCAAAAGUUGCUUUCAAGAAAAUCUGAUCAGUUUCAUUCAGGCAUUCUGUCAAACAUCUAAUGUGCAAGUCAAAUCAUUUGAUUGUGAUACUUAAUUUGAUACGUAUACUCCAUUCUAAUGUGCAUCUCCAAAGUAGCAAAUGAAACGGGUAAACCCUCAGUCAUCUAUAUUUUGACUUUAUGAAAGAAAGUGAAGAUGAACUAUUAGGUUGUGUAUAACCCUUAACAUCAUCCACCAUACCCAAAAGAUGGAAUCUGAAAAGAAUAGAUCAGUAUAAGCAUUUAUAUAAAGUUCAUACACUAAAGUCUCUAAAAUUACAGAAAAAUAAGACUCACCCCCUUCUACAACAAGGCAAACAACAAUUCUUUGGUGAUAGUAAGAUUUGACAAUAGCAGGAGCUUCCUACA
rnacentral:lncRNA from 1 species